rnacentral:rRNA from 1 species
UACGAAGGGUGCAAGCGUUACUCGGAAUUACUGGGCGUAAAGCGUGCGUAGGUGGUGAGUUAAGUCUGUCGUGAAAGCCCCGGGCUCAACCUGGGAAUGGCGAUGGAUACUGGCUCGCUAGAGUGCGGUAGAGGAGAGUGGAAUUCCCGGUGUAGCAGUGAAAUACGUAGAGAUCGGGAGAACAUCAGUUGCGAAGGCGGCUCUCUGGACCAGCACUGACACUGAGGCACGAAGGCCAGGGGAGCAAACGGG